GAUGAACGCUGGCGGCGUGCCUAACACAUGCAAGUCGAGCGGCAGCGCGGGGUGCUUGCACCCUGUCGGCGAGCGGCGGACGGCUGAGUAACGCGUGGGAACGUGCCCCAAAGUGAGGAAUAACUGCCCGAAAGGGUAGCUAAUACCGCAUAUUAUCUUCGGAUCAAAGGAUUUAUCCGCUUUGGGAGCGGCUCGCGUCGGAUUAGGUAGUUGGUGAGGUAAUGGCUCACCAAGCCGACGAUCCGUAGCUGGUCUGAGUGGAUGACCAGCCAGACUGGAACUGAGACACGGUCCAGACUCCUACGGGAGGCAGCAGUGAGGAAUCUUCCACAAUGGGCGAAAGCCUGAUGGAGCAACGCCGCGUGCAGGACGAAGGCCUUCGGGUUGUAAACUGCUUUUAUAAGUGAGGAAUAUGACGGUAACUUAUGAAUAAGGAUCGGCUAACUACGUG
rnacentral:rRNA from 1 species